UACGUAGGGGGCAAGCGUUGUUCGGAAUGACUGGGCGUAAAGGGUGCGUAGGCGGUGUAGCAAGUUAGAAGUGAAAUACCUAGAGCUUAACUCAGGUGCUGCUUCUAAAACUGCUAUACUUGAGUGCAGUAGAGGAAAGUGGAAUUCCUAGUGUAGCGGUGGAAUGCGUGGAUAUUAGGAGGAACAUCAGUGGCGAAGGCGACUUUCUGGACUGUAACUGACGCUGAGGCACGAAAGUGUGGGGAGCAAACAGG
rnacentral:rRNA from 1 species